GGGGGUGUCUUGGAUUCGACAGGGUUUUUGCAGUUAAAGAAGCCAUUCGUAGUUCGGGGCUACGUUAAAACUCGAAACUUAAAAUUAAACGCUGAAGAUAAUUUAGCAUUUGCAGCCUAAUUAGGCGGCUGUCCGUCCUGUUCGCUCACUGACAGGGGCACGGGCAUCAGAUUGGUGAGGCACUUCGCAUCGAAAGCUUUGACGAUGAGGAAGAAAUAUGAAGCUACUAAAACCGGCAGUCUGUCUUUGGACGGUCGGCAGAGGGAAUGAAAAAGCAAAGACUGUAAUGGGAGACGCUUUAAUGAAUAGGAUUUUGGACAGGGGUUCGAUUCCCCUCACCUCCAUUC
rnacentral:tmRNA from 1 species